UUUUUAAAAAAUACUGUAAUAUUUUGUUUUGAACCAAGAAUCUGUGUAAUAUCUUGUAUGGAUUUAAAAGAUGCCACGCCGAAGAAAAAAAAUUCACAGGAGUCAAAUAAUAACAGCUAUUUUGAUGAUAUUUUACCUCAUAGGAAUUAUAGUGCUAAUCGGUCUUACAUUUUUAAUACGUGGCAUCGAUCUGCAUAUUAUACUGAGCCUAGUUGGCACAGCAUUUAUUGGAAUAGGCAUAAUGAUGUUUCGAUUACUGAGAGGGCGACGAACCCGAUGUAUAAAAUAUGUACACCUCAUAUUUCAUUUACUGGGGCUUAUUAUCUUGAUUGCAGGGUUUGUAUUACUGCAAUCUCGCAUGGAACAUGAUCAUAUGCUACCAGCUUUGCUCACCUUUUCUGCUAUUAUCUUACAGUUUGUUAUUGCGGUGUUUAUAUUUGCCUAUUUGUACGAAUAUCGACGUUUACGUUUAUUUUUUGCACCCUUUCAUGAUAUUGUUGGAGUAUGGAUUUUCAUCUGUAUCGGAUAUUGUUGCUUUUACCAUUAUUAUUUCGAAAAUAAUGACGACAAAGUUCUUUUAUUGGUUCACAUAUACAAUGCUGUUGCUUGUAUUACUCUCUUAAUGGUAGUUUUAGUGAUAAUGUGCCCUUAUUUAGAUUGGGAACUGGUCGGUCGAAUAUGAGACAAUUAAUGAUGGAAGAAGAUAUCUACAAAGCUGUCAAAAGCUUUAUCAAAAUCAAAACGGCAUCACUUUAGAAUUAUUCAAAAUCAGAAAGCCUAUGAUAUUCCAUGAACAGAUCAAAGAGGUAAAGAAACAGAACGUGAGAUUUAAAUGAAGGAUCAGAUAAGUAAGAAUAUUAGAAGGUGUCUGCCAAGUGUCAUUCAGAUUAAGCAAAGCCAGGAUAUUAAGAGGUGCCAGAAAAGAUGUUUUUCUUUCUGUGUUGGUUGUUAAAUCGUAAUUACACAAAAUAUUUAAA